rnacentral:tmRNA from 1 species
GGGGCUGAUUUGGUUUCGACGGGAGUAUUUGAGCACAGAUGGCAAGUCGAAUGUCCACGUUACGGGCACAAAAAAAUAAAUGCAAAAAAUUUAAAAAAUGCAGUUGCUAACAUGUUUGGUACUCGCCAAGCUGUUGCUUUUGCCUAAUAAUAAUAUAGGUCUGCGCUUUCUUUAAUCUUUACCUAUGGGAUUACUUGAAGGUUCAUUUUAGUAGGUUAUGUCUAUCUUUUGUCUAGAGGAUAGAAAGAAUAUUUAGACUGGUAUGUUGUCUUGGUCGUCAAUUACUUGGAUGAUAUAUGAGAAUAAUUAGUUGACUAAGCUUGUAGAGGUUUGUGUAGCUUUGCUUUCGGACAGGAGUUCGAUUCUCCUCAGCUCCACCA